UACGUAGGUGGCAAGCGUUAUCCGGAUUUACUGGGUGUAAAGGGCGUGUAGGCGGGAAAGCAAGUCAGAUGUGAAAACCACGGGCUCAACCUGUGGCCUGCGUUUGAAACUGUUUUUCUUGAGUACUGGAGAGGCAGACGGAAUUCCUCGUGUAGCGGUGAAAUGCGUAGAUAUGAGGAGGAACACCAGUGGCGAAGGCGGUCUGCUGGACAGCAACUGACGCUGAGGCGCGAAAGCGUGGGGAGCAAACAGG
rnacentral:rRNA from 1 species